UUUUGAUACAAAUGUAAAAAAAAAAACAUUUUAUACAAGUAACAUCCUGCACUUUAGUAACCUCAGAUUACAAGGUGAUGUCCUGAGCAAAAUGUGUCAACUCUUAAACAGACGUUACAGGUUUAUGCUGUUUUUCUUCUACAGUCAAACAUCGUCCAAAUGACCUUCAGUGUGCAGAGUUUAAGAUUGGUAAACAUGAAAAGUUGGAAGAGCUACUGGCAAAAGACAAGGACUUUGACUUCAGUUACCAGAAGUGGUACAGUGUGAGCAGCUCUAAGAAGGACACGUCAGGUGACUCUGGUGGAGGAUUUGUGUUCAAGAACAGGCUGUAUGGCGUUUGUGUCUUCACUGGAGAUCCACUGUAUGCACUCAGUGCACCAAGUGCUUUCCUGGAUGUCUGUGCCUACAAGAAGUGGAUAGAUGACACAAUUAACCAAAAACC